GACGAACGCUGGCGGCGUGCCUAAUACAUGCAAGUAGAACGCACAGUUUAUACCGUAGCUUGCUACACCAUAGACUGUGAGUUGCGAACGGGUGAGUAACGCGUAGGUAACCUGCCUGGUAGCGGGGGAUAACUAUUGGAAACGAUAGCUAAUACCGCAUAAUAUUAAUUAUUGCAUGAUAAUUGAUUGAAAGAUGCAACUGCAUCACUACCAGAUGGACCUGCGUUGUAUUAGCUAGUAGGUGAGGUAACGGCUCACCUAGGCGACGAUACAUAGCCGACCUGCGAGGGUGGUCGGCCACCCUGGGACUGGGACACGGCCCAGACUCCUACGGGAGGCAGCAGUAGGGAAUCUUCGGCAAUGGACGAAAGUCUGACCGAGCAACGCCGCGUGAGUGAAGAAGGGUUUCGGAUCGUAAAGCUCUGUUGUAAGAGAAGAACGGGUGUGAGAGUGGAAAGUUCACACUGUGACGGUAUCUUACCAGAAAGGGACGGCUAACUACGUG
rnacentral:rRNA from 1 species